GAACGCACCUUGCGCUCCUUGGUAUUCCGAGGAGCAUGCCUGUUUGAGUGUCAUUAAUAUAUCAAUCUCUUCAGCUUUUGCUUGUCGAGUGUUGGAUGUGGGGGUCUUUUUUGCUGGUCUUUCUCAGAUCAGCUCCCCUGAAAUGUAUUAGCGGAACAAUUUGUGGACCGUUCAUUGGUGUGAUAACUAUCUACGCUAUUGACGUGAAGCAGUUCAGCUUCUAACAGUCCAUUGACUUGGACAAAUUUUCAUUAAUGUGACCUCAAAUCAGGUAGGACUACCCGCUGAACUUAAG
rnacentral:misc_RNA from 1 species